GACGGGGGAGGGACGGGAAAUGCUUUGGCACUCUGGGGCAGCAGAGGACUAGGUGCCAAUUUUGUGGGGCGCGGAGCGAAAGAGACGCACAAAUCGCUAUUAUCACGCAGUUCCCACACUGCGGGAGACCUGCCCGAUUUGGUAUUAUCCUCUAUUUGUGGAACAUCUUUAGCUGCUCACGAUCUUCUUUUUCCUGAAGGUCCCUCUCCUCCUGAAAUUGUAACCCACCCACACCCCACCAUUCCACACUUUCCCCAAAGUGUUAAAUCUGGACAUUCAAAGCGAACUGAAACAGGACGGGAAAAGGACCGGGAUAUGUCUUCCCUGUGCACAAUUGCCAUUAAUUAGCGAGGGUCGCUGCCUCGUAUCCGCACGGGAGAGGCGUGAUUUAGGGACAGGGUGAUCCAAACGACACUUCCCCCAAAUCCUUCGAUUUCAUUGGAUUUUAUUUUAUUUCCUUGAGACGGGCGGUGCUACAGCCGAGGUUUUCAGCUGCGGACAUCACUCCCUCCCUCUGUCGCCCAGUGUCUACAAUGAGAAUGGGGUUCGAUCUCCCAACUCCGGGGUUCUCAGAGGGUUAGGAAAGUUACAGUUCCAGAUGAGAGAGUUGUAAAUCAUCUAACUUAAUUGGAAGAAUCGAUCGAUCCCUGACAGAGCCCAGGAAGGUUCUCUUGGCUGCUCCCAAAUAGGAGCAGGGCCCAGGCCUCCAAACUUGGAAGACAAUAGGAGCCGCCGCCGCCUCCGCCUCUGGCGCAGCUAACAAGAGGAAAUCAGGCGCGUUUAUUAGCUCCGAGGCGGUGCUCUAACUAGCAGGACAGCAGAAGUGGGGAAUCCCAUAGGAAGAGCGCCGGGCGCGCGGGGUGGGGGAGAACCCGGGUUUACAACUCUCCACGCUCCCCUUCCCCAGGAAAGUUGGCAGCAGCCAUUUCAAGACAAGGGAGAAGGUCGCAGUGGUUGGAUCUGCGACCGCGUCAGCGUGUCUGCAUAAUAAACACACGUUUUGUUAGACUGCGCGUUUGCAUUUUGUACACACCUUUGACACUGCUCGGGUUUAGACAGUCUGUAAACUUUCUGCAUGCCAAAUAAGGGGAGGAAUGCUUGGGUCUCCACCUUGUCACCACCAAGAUGGUUUCAGAGGACAGAGUCCCCAAAAGCAGGCCACACACGCUUGGGGACAGAAGGUGAUGAACCGCUACUGUUUAUUUGUGAUGGGGGAGUUAUAACUGAUUUGAUACUUUUAUUGCUUUAUCGCGCUUAUUGUAAAUCGCUCUGUCGUUUUUUUAGAAUGAAGAGCGGUCUAAACGCUAAGCUUUAUAGAUUCCCCAGAUCAACUUCUGAAAAAGAAGGGUUGUCGUGGAAUCUGAUGUAAAGCACCAUGGAUAAGUUGCAAAAUGGUGGGAAUUGUGGGAAGAAGGAAGCUCUAUGGUCUGUGGAUGACUGCAUGUGCCAGAAGAAAGCUGGACACUUGGAAUGCAAAUUGGUGAUAUUGUAUGUUGUAUCGGUUUUCAUUUUUUAUUGUGUUGUGCAUUUGCAUUUUGUACACUUUUUGGAUAUUUCUUAUGUUUAGCAAUUUUUAAGGUUCUUAAACAAAUGACACUUCCAAUAAAAAAGACACCUCUUAAAAUAA